GACGAACGCUGGCGGCGUGCUUAACACAUGCAAGUCGAACGGGCCCGCUCUCUUUUUUGGGGGUGGGUUGAGUGGCGAACGGGUGAGUAUCACGUGGGUAACCUGCCCCCUGCUCCUGGAUAACUGCUUGAAAGGGCGGCUAAUACGGGGUGUGCCGGCUGGUCCGCAUGGGCCUGGUCGGGAUAGUUUCAUCUUCGGGUGUUUCGGUGGGGGAUGGGCUCGCGGCCUAUCAGCUUGUUGGUGGGGUGAUGGCCCACCAAGGCGGUGACGGGUAGCCGGCCUGAGAGGGUGGGCGGCCACACUGGGACUGAGACACGGCCCAGACUCCUGCGGGAGGCAGCAGUGGGGGGUAUUGCACAAUGGACGGAAGCCUGAUGCAGCGACGUCGCGUGAGGGAUGGAGGCCUUCGGGUUGUGAACCUCUUUCUCCGGUGGUGAAGGCCCUGUCCGUUGCGGCGGGGUUGACGGUAGCCGGGUAUGAAGCGCCGGCUAACUACGUG
rnacentral:rRNA from 1 species